UACGUAGGUGGCAAGCGUUAUCCGGAAUUAUUGGGCGUAAAGCGCGCGUAGGCGGUAAGAUAAGUCUGAUGUGAAAGCCCCCGGCUCAACCGGGGAGGGUCAUUGGAAACUGUUUUACUUGAGUACAGAAGAGGAGAGUGGAAUUCCAUGUGUAGCGGUGAAAUGCGCAGAGAUAUGGAGGAACACCAGUGGCGAAGGCGGCUCUCUGGUCUGUAACUGACGCUGAGGUGCGAAAGCGUGGGGAUCAAAC
rnacentral:rRNA from 1 species